rnacentral:rRNA from 1 species
UCAAGCGAACAAGGGCGCAGGGCGAAUGCCUUGGCACUGGGAGCCGAUGAAAGACGUGAUAAGCUGCGAUAAGCUUCGGGGAGCUGCAAAUAAGCAUUGAUCCGGAGAUUUCUGAAUGAGGAAACUCACCUGGGUUCAUACUCAGGUACGUUAUACUGAACUUCAAAAUAGGUAUAUCGAGGGAACCGCCUGAACUGAAACAUCUAAGUAGGGCGAGGAAGAGACAUCAAACGAGAUUCCGUAAGUAGUGGCGAGCGAACGCGGAAGAGGGCAAACCGAGAGUAGAAAUACUUUCGGGGUACGGACUGCUUUUAGGACUUAAUCUGUUAACCGAACGGCAUGGGAAGGCCGGUCAGAGAGUGUGAGAACCACGUAGGUGAAAACGGAGAGAGCUGCGCAGGAUCCAGAGUACGGCCAGACACGUGAAACCUGGUCGGAAUACGGGGGGACCACCCUCCAACCCUAAAUACUACCCAGUGACCGAUAGCGUAUAGUACUGUGAAGGAAAGGUGAAAAGCACCCCGGGAGGGGAGUGAAAGAGAACCUGAAACCCUGUGCCUACAAGCACCUAGAGCACGUCAAUGUGUGAUAGGGUACUUUUUGUAGAACGGUCCGGCGAGCGAUUGUAUGCAGCAAGGUUAAGGACUUAAGGUCUGGAGCCGAAGCGAAAGCGAGUUUGAAAAGGGCGUUAAGUUGCAUAUAAUGGGCCCGAAACCGGGUGACCUACCCAUGGUCAGGUUGAAGUGGAAGUAAAAUUCCAUGGAGGACCGAACCGACCUCCGUUGAAAAGGCGGCGGAUGAACUGUGGGUAGCGGAGAAAUUCCAAUCGAACCCGGAGAUAGCUGGUUCUCCCCGAAAUAGUUUUAGGACUAGCCUCAAGUUAGAUACCUGGAGGUAAAGCACUGAAUAGCCUAGCGGCCGAGAGGUUAGCGAAGCUUAUCAAACUCAGAAUGCCAGAGUAUUGAUGCUUGGGAGUCAGACAGUGUCAGAUAAAUGUCAUUGUCAAAAGGGAAACAGCCCAGAUCUACAGCUAAGGUCCCAAAGUCAGGUUAAGUGGAAAACGAUGUGAAGAUACGUAGACAACCAGGAUGUUGGCUCAGAAGCAGCCACUCAUUCAAAGAGUGCGUAAUAGCUCACUGGUCGAGCGUCUUUGCGCGGAGAAUUUAACGGGGCUAAACCUGACACCGAAGCUUAGGCAAUACAGCAAUGUAUUGGGUAGGGGAGCGUUGUAUACGCGGUGAAACAGUAGCGCAAGCGGCUGUGGAGUGUAUAGAAGUGAGAAUGCCGGAAUGAGUAGCGCGAAUGCAGUGAGAAUCUGCAUGGCCGAAAGCCUCAGGUUUCUGGAGGAAGGUUCGUCCGCUCCAGGUUAGUCGGGAGCUAAGGUGAGGCCUAACGGCGUAGCCGAUGCACAGACGGUAGAGAUUCCGUCACCACCAAAAGAGUUAAACACAGGGACACAUUUGAAGUCUCGGAGCCGGGUGUUGGUUCCGGUAGCGAUCGAGGGAAAUUAGUACCGAAGUCCGGGAUGGAAGAUGGCGAGAAAAGCUGUGUGUAUUUCUGCGGUGCCCGUACCGCAAACCGACACAGGUAGGUAGGAAGAAGAUUCUAAGGCCAACGGGAGAAGGGUUGUUAAGGAACUCGGCAAAUUGACCCCGUAACUUCGGGAGAAGGGGUGCUCCAGAGAUGGAGCCGCAGAGAAUCGGCCCAAGCAACUGUUUACCAAAAACACAGGUUUGUGCUAAAUCGAAAGAUGACGUAUACGAGCUGACGCCUGCCCGGUGCUGGAAGGUUAAGAGGAGAUGUGCAAGCAUUGAAUCGAAGCCCCAGUGAACGGCGGCCGUAACUAUAACGGUCCUAAGGUAGCGAAAUUCCUUGUCAGGUAAG